UACGGGGGGCAAGCGUUGUUCGGAAUUACUGGGCGUAAAGGGCUUGUAGGUGGCCAACUAAGUCAGACGUGAAAUCCCUCGGCUUAACCGGGGAACUGCGUCUGAUACUGGAUGGCUAGAGUUUGGGAGAGGGAUGCGGAAUUCCAGGUGUAGCGGUGAAAUGCGUAGAUAUCUGGAGGAACACCGGUGGCGAAGGCGGCAUCCUGGACCAACACUGACACUGAAAGCGAAAGCCAGGGAGCAAACGGG
rnacentral:rRNA from 1 species